UGGGGAAUCUUGCACAAUGGGGGAAACCCUGAUGCAGCCAUGCCGCGUGGAGGAAGACACCCCUAUGGGGCGUAAACUCCUUUUCUGCGCGAAGAAACCUCUGUUGUUCAGAGUGUGACGGUACCGCAGGAAUAAGGACCGGCUAACUCCGUGCCAGCAGCCGCGGUAAUACGGAGGGUCCAAGCGUUGUCCGGAAUCACUGGGCGUAAAGGGUGUGCAGGUGGGGCAGCAAGUCAGAGAUGAAAGCCCGCGGCUUAACCGCGGAGGUGCCUUUGAAACUGUUGCUCUUGAGUCCCGGAGAGGCUGCCGGAAUUCGUGGUGUAGCGGUGAAAUGCGUAGAUAUCACGAGGAACACCAGAGGCGAAAGCGGGCAGCUGGACGGGUACUGACGCUCAGGCACGAAAGCGUGGGGAGCAAACA
rnacentral:rRNA from 1 species